GCAAAGGAGCCAAAUCCCUAGCUCUUCGUUCCCCACACGCGCCGCCUGAGGUCCAGUGGUCGUUCCCACGCCGUCCCACCGCCGCCACACAUCACCCGGGGCUAUCGCCGAUUGAUCCCGGUGCCAUCCCACCACCAGCCCACCACCACCCACCCCGCCCUACCUCUGCAGCGCCGCCCCACGCCACCCUCCCUCUGCCGCGCCACUCCAGCGCCGCCCAACGCCGUCCGGCCUCUCCACUACCGGCUCCACGCCCUCAUGCUACAUCCAGCAAAGUUGCCGCCCCCUCCCUGGCCGGACCUCCCGCAUCUGCACCACGAAGGGACAUGCGGCGAGUUGGAUCUGGGCAGCGUGCUGCUGGGCAAGGUCAUCGAUACGAGCAUAUGACUGAGGAACUAAUGGACUGAAUGGAAUUGCCAUUAGCUUCAGAAGGAGGCAUAAUCUAGAAACUCCUAGAUCGCAGCACAAUUCCAAUUCUCGACAAAACUCAAGAGUUGAAGCUGAGGAACAUAAUGAUGGUGAAGACAACGACGAUGAGGAGCCCUUUGUUCAUAGAAGAGUUGUUGCAAAGCCCCCUCCAAGAAGCUCAUCAGCCCAUGAAGAUGAAAGCCUUGCAACAAUUAUCUCCAGUUGAUCCAGACACUAUUGUGGGCGAAGAGCCCCUUGGACCAGCGACUUAUGAGGUUCUUGUCAAUGUUGUGAUCAGAAGGGAUACUAUGGUGCCUUAUGAAUAUGAAGGCUUACAAUCUACCGCUGAUGCUGACACAGGGCCAUUGCAUGACCAUCUAGCAAGAUGAAAACCUACAAACCAGGGGCAUCUUCCUCGUCCCACCGCCAAGGUAUUUUUCCAAUCACUAUUUUUGAGCUAGUAUUUAUUUGUGUAUUGUAUAGGAGAAAUCUUCUCAGUUUCUGAAUACUGAGCUAGUAUUCAUUUUUUGAGCUACGAACCAGGGACCGAAAUGAGCUAAGUUUUUUUUGAGCUACAAACCAGGGCUGGUCCAUCUUCUCUUAUUAUCAUGUUUGCCUAGCUCACUGCCACUUCUCUUCAUCUAAAGUUUGUAUUAGAUAAUGUACAAUACAUAGUCUCAGUUUGUCUUAAAUAACCUCCUCUAGUACUGUUUGUUCAUGAAUCUAGUCCUUCAGUUUGUUCAUGAAUAACCUCCUGUUGUACUAUUUGUUCAUGUAUCUGGUCCUUCAGUCUAGGAAUCUGGUCCUUCAGUUUUGCUGAACAGAGAAUACUCAUUGUCUUAUUUUUGGCUAAUUCCAUAGUUAAUAACCUUUUGUAACUACAAGUCUCACUCGGUACACACACACAUAUAUCAGCAUCAGGGCACAUCCAUAGUACAGAACAGAGCAUAAUACACUGCUAGUUGCUUUUAAUGUUGCUAUUUCUGAAUCUUGUUUCUAGGCUAACCUAGUAUUUAUAAUCUUUAUUUCUCUUAUGCGUAACCUGAUGGUUUAGGUUCUGGCACUUAUACCUAUGAAGAUUUGUAUGUACAGUACAUAUGCUUCUCUGAAACUAAUGGAUUAAUUUAAUCUAUUUUUGCAAGGUAUAAUUUAAUCUAAUUUGUGGCACUGAAGUACAUAUGUUUUUCUCUGAUGCAUUUCUGAAUAUAAUAGUCAGGCACACUACAGUCUUUUCCAUCCCAGAGAAAAGUAAGAAAGAAAACUAGUGGUCUUCUCUAGAAAAAAGCUGUACUUUUGAAAAUAUUUUGAGGUGUUUGUCCAAGUACAUACCAUGGUUUUACAAACUGUAGUAUCCCCAAUGUAUCUAUUGCUGUCACCAGGAAGAUAGAAUUCUGUUCUCGGUGUCCAUGUAUCUAUUGCUGCCACGAGGAAGAUAGCAACAUCGCUUUCAGUACCAUUCAAUUUAUGGCCACAACUGAAGACUAAACAAAGAUAGUUGAAAUACUAUACUUCUCACGUGGAUAGAAAACACCAGUAAGGUGUAUCUCUAAUACUUAGCUAUAUGGUACUAGUUCUCUAGAAAAAGAAGUUACAUGACCACAUAACUCUUUCUUGUGUUCAAGAAAUAAAAAUUAUGUAGUGUCAAUUAGGUCUUUUAUGUCUCAUAUUCUAUCUAUCUUACAGAUCUCUGAUGGUGGAAAGACAACAUUUGUUUAUGUCAUUGUCGAUAAGAAAAUGUGAGAAUAUAUCUUUUCUUUCGUCAUUAUUGUCGAAAGGCAACUAGUACUUAGCUUCUUGUAGUUAUAACUAGAUGAGUGUAGCAGUCAACACAGCUACAGCUACAACAUUUGUUUAUGUUCCUUGGUCUGCACCUCGACAUAAAUUAUUUUCAGUUUCACGACAUAACAUAAACUGUUCAGUGCACAACAUUUUUUUCACCCUGUGAUAUAAAUCACGUGAAGAUAAUCAUGAAAUGGUUGAAUCAUCCAAUUAUUUCUCAAAACUUUGGGUCGCGUCUCCUGGUCGACUUUGGUUAUUCUUAGUGUGACACUUCUGUAUGGAUCCCAAGUUUACAGGCCUGCAAAUCGGAAUUAUUCACCUCAAAGUUAGCUGGCUGUAUAUUCAUUUUCUAUGUUUCAUACAUGAUGCUCUUUACUGUUAAGUUGAACAGAUAGUACUGUAGUACUUAGUGGAAAGGAAAUUUCAUCAGCUUGCAUGUAUAUUAAUUGUAUGAUUUUUUGUCUUUCCAGGUUGCUGUCAGGUUGUGUAGGAAAGACAGACACUACACCACGCACUAGAUUUUCCUACAGAUGUGUGUUGUGAAAAGUCAGUUUCGCCGGCAAUUUUGUUUUCUUAUAUUGCUAUAUCAUUUUGUGCUUCUAAUGUUUUUCUGCACCAUUCGAGCUAGUAUGUUUUGCAUCAAAAAAUUAAAUGUGCACCACACUUUUUCAUCAAAUAUUCAUCUAUAGGCUGUAUGACUUUUAUUUUCCUAAACCUCCCUGGGCCAUUCGUGAGAGGGAGACAAUGUAAAUAUUCAAUUUUGUGUAAUGAUUUUCGCAAUAGCUUUUCUUGUGGGUUUGGCAAUUAUGUAAAGAUAAUUGACUAUAGCACAAACUGAAGAAGUUCUUGACCAUGUUUGUGUAAUUUGUACAUAGUAAGGAAACUAUGAUGUAGGUUGCAGUUCAUUUACAUGGCAUCGUAAGGAUUAAAACAUAUAUAUUAAUGCCUUAAAUUUAUGUUGCCUUUUUUUAUUUAAAGCAAAGACCGCUUUCUCGUGACUGUUGUUUGAAAAGUUGUCUCUCAGGUGGAAUUAGCUCAUGGUGGGAGUGAUUAAUCUUACUCGUAUGAUCGCCCAAGCAGCGUUAGCAAUGGAUGCCAUGGAGGUGUUUCUAGGUGCUCUGAGUACCAAGCGAUGUACUCAUAUAGCAUGCCUUUUACAAGAGGAAAAAUGGCAGAGUAUGAACACCAACUGAAAGUAGCAGAGUAUGAACUAAUGAAAAGUCGAAAGGCGCAAACAUAAGGAUUGGAAUCACAAUGAACCAUGAAGCCAGUGAUCCGCAUCAACUGGAUGUUCUACUUUUCAUUUUGUACAAUUGAUGUCUCAUACUACUUUCAUCUUUUUGCUUCUGUAAAUCUGGUGUAUGGUGUCCUGUGCGAACAGACUGAAGUGUAUGUAUGUGACAAUUAGUUAAUGGAAUAAAAAAUGUUUGGUGCA